GACGAACGCUGGCGGCGUGCUUAACACAUGCAAGUCGAACGGUGAAGCUCCAGCUUGCUGGAGUGGAUCAGUGGCGAACGGGUGAGUAACACGUGAGCAACCUGCCCCUGACUCUGGAAUAAGCGCUGGAAACGGCGUCUAAUACUGGAUACGAGAAGGGUCCGCAUGGGCACUUUCUGGAAAGUUUUUCGGUUGGGGAUGGGCUCGCGGCCUAUCAGCUUGUUGGUGAGGUAAUGGCUCACCAAGGCGACGACGGGUAGCCGGCCUGAGAGGGCGACCGGCCACACUGGGACUGAGACACGGCCCAGACUCCUACGGGAGGCAGCAGUGGGGAAUAUUGCACAAUGGGCGAAAGCCUGAUGCAGCGACGCCGCGUGAGGGAUGACAGCCUUCGGGUUGUAAACCUCUUUCAGCAGGGAAGAAGCGAAAGUGACGGUACCUGCAGAAGAAGCACCGGCUAACUACGUG
rnacentral:rRNA from 1 species